AACCCAUGGUGAGGGCACCUUCUCAGUAAGUCCUUGUAUCUCUCCCAUGCAUCAUAAAGUGUUUCUAAAU
rnacentral:snoRNA from 1 species